rnacentral:rRNA from 1 species
CAAACUGGAGAUGGCGACCGGCGCACGGGUGAGUAACACGUAUCCAACCUGCCGAUAACUCGGGGAUAGCCUUUCGAAAGAAAGAUUAAUACCCGAUGGCAUAGUUCUUCCGCAUGGUAGAACUAUUAAAGAAUUUCGGUCAUCGAUGGGGAUGCGUUCCAUUAGGUUGUUGGCGGGGUAACGGCCCACCAAGCCUUCGAUGGAUAGGGGUUCUGAGAGGAAGGUCCCCCACAUUGGAACUGAGACACGGUCCAAACUCCUACGGGAGCAGCAUG